rnacentral:tRNA from 4 species
UCCCCGGUAGCUCAGUUGGUAGAGCAAGUGACUGUUAAUCACUGGGUCGGCGGUUCGAGCCCGUCCCGGGGAGCCA